rnacentral:lncRNA from 1 species
AUGCCACCAGGAGACACCCUUCCACAGAUGUUCUCCACACAUGACGCCAAUGCAGCCACCACUGGCCAUGGGUGGCCUCCAACUCUGGAGGCCACCUACGGCAGCUCCCAACAUCCUGCUUGUCCAGGUGUCACCCCUAAGGGAUGGGACCCACUCCACGCCCCCCAGCCAUGGGUUGCUACCCAAGCCGAGCACCAAGGACACGGGAAGCCAACRGAGGUACACCAACACGUUGCCUCUCCUGCAAACCAGGACAUUGCUCAGGUCCCCGUAGCCGUAACGCUGCCGGGGGCCACCCUCCUAUGCCGGGACGGGUUUCCAAUAGGCUCCCGGCUCGGAGCUCCGAGCCUGACCUCCGCGCUUGGCUCCCGCCCAGGCGGCUCCGGGGAGAGGGACGCGGCGCGGGCGAUUGCACAACGGGAGGAAAGUUCUCCGGCGGGGAAACCGCGGCCCCUUUCAUCUGCCCCGGCCGCGCCGCCCUUGCCGGGACCUCCCGGCUCCGCCGGUUUUUGGGGGCGGUCCAGCUCCCGGCGUCCCUUUCCCGGGAAUCACCCCGGCGCAGCCGAGCACAACAGCRACUAUCUUCAGUCUCCUUUUCCCCCCAGAAUAACUUUCCCUUCCUCUCGCACGCGACCGAGCCGGGUUUCCUCGUUCUCCCGGAUCAAACCGCAGGACGUCCCGGCUGAAAACGCUCUUUGCAAACGGCAGCUUUUUUUUGGUUUUGCUGCCAGCAGCAUUUUCCAAGCGGCCGCAUUUGGUGAGCGCCCUCCCUUUCCGCCGGCGCGCCGUCUCCCUCCGGGCGCCCGGCGUUUCGGGUGCCGAUUGCACCCCCCAAACCGCCCGCGCUGGGGGUGCCCCUCCUCACUCCCUCCCCAGCCAGUUUUGGUUUCUUUUUUAGGAAAAAAAAGAAAGGAAAAAAGAAAAAGUGCCAGGGGCCACGGGGGCUCGGGCGGUGCGUGCGCCUGCUGUGCCAGACUGAAGGAGCAGGGAGUUAUUGGGGACAGAGGGGCAACGGAACGAGGGGGCUUGUCCCAAACAGGU